UGGAGGUGGCGACUGGAUGGACUGAAGUGCCAAACGCAAAUUGACGAUUGUGUAUAGCGCCCGUUACCGGUGCGGCUUUAGUAGGUAACUACACAGGCAUAUGCUGGGUGUGGGCUACUGCGAUGUGCGGAAUAUGCGAUUGCACACGACACCAACGCGCAUCGGCAAAAGUGCGGCGUAUGUUUUGAAUCGUUUGCACUCUCCCAGAGCCACUAGAAAUUACCUAUAAAAGUGUACCGGCUCGCCACUGUCUGUAUCAUUCGGAAGCUGCAGUAUUUGUUUGCAAGUUGGAAAGCGUAUCAAACAGCUGGUAAAAGCAACCUACAUAGGUGCAGUUGUAAGUGCGAGAGUAACAACGACAGAACAUUAUCGAAAUGCCGUGCAAGUGCUGUGGAAAAGAUUGUAAGUGCACUACGUGCUGUGGUGUAGAUAAACCAUGCGAGCCAGGCUGCACCUGCAAUUGUGCAUGUAAAACGGGCAAAGAUAGUGAUCAUUCAGCAGGAUGCUGCAAAAAGUGAUGCAAACGAAGUGUGAUGCGAAAACACGCUUUAAAUUGUUUAUUUAAGUUAUUCUAUUGUUAGAUAAUAAGAGUGAGUGAAUAAAACUUAAGAAAUACACAGUAAAAA